ACCUACGGGGGGCAGCAGUAGGGAAUUUUCGCCAAUGGGCGCAAGCCUGAACGAGCAAUGCCGCGUGAACGAGGAAGGUCUUCGGAUCGUAAAGUUCUGUUGAAGGGGAAAAAGAGCGGAGAGAGGAAAUGGUCUCCGAUUGAUAUUACCCUUCGAGGAAGUCACGGCUAACUACGUGCCAGCAGCCGCGGUAAUACGUAGGUGGCGAGCGUUAUCCGGAAUGAUUGGGCGUAAAGGGUGCGUAGGCGGCCUGCUAAGUCUGGAGUGAAAGGUACCGGCUCAACCGGUACAGGCUCUGGACACUG
rnacentral:rRNA from 1 species